GAGUCAUUAGCUCAGUUGGUAGAGCAUCUGACUUUUAAUCAGAGGGUCGCAGGUUCGAGUCCUGCAUGACUCACCA
rnacentral:tRNA from 1 species